AAAAAUAAAAUUUGUAUGGAGGUGGAAAGUUUGCCGCUAGGGGCGCUGUCCCAACUGCAUACAAAUUUGAGUUA
rnacentral:pre_miRNA from 1 species